rnacentral:rRNA from 1 species
CCUACGGGAGGCAGCAGUGAGGAAUAUUGGACAAUGGGCGCAAGCCUGAUCCAGCCAUGCCGCGUGCAGGAAGACGGUCCUAUGGAUUGUAAACUGCUUUUGUACGGGAAGAAACACUCCUUCGUGAAGGAGCUUGACGGUACCGUAAGAAUAAGGAUCGGCUAACUCCGUGCCAGCAGCCGCGGUAAUACGGAGGAUCCAAGCGUUAUCCGGAAUCAUUGGGUUUAAAGGGUCCGUAGGCGGUUUAGUAAGUCAGUGGUGAAAGCCCAUCGCUCAACGGUGGAACGGCCAUUGAUACUGCUAGACUUGAAUUAUUAGGAAGUAACUAGAAUAUGUAGUGUAGCGGUGAAAUGCUUAGAGAUUACAUGGAAUACCAAUUGCGAAGGCAGGUUACUACUAAUGGAUUGACGCUGAUGGACGAAAGCGUGGGUAGCGAACAGGAUUAGAUACCCUGGUAGUCCACGCCGUAAACGAUGGAUACUAGCUGUUGGGGGCAACUUCAGUGGCUAAGCGAAAGUGAUAAGUAUCCACCUGGGGAGUACGUUCGCAAGAAUGAAACUUAAAUUGAAAUUGACGGCUUGAGAGNGCGAGACGACACGAGGAGGAGG